CAACCGAUUGAUCUUUUCACCAAGGCACUUGGACAUGAUCAAUUUCGUUAUCUUCCAUCCAAGUUGGGUAUUUGUGAUCUUCAUACUCCAACUUGAGGGGGAGUAUUGAACGUUAUAUUGAUAAAAUUGUAUAGCAAAAUUGUAUUUACCAGAUAGCUAUUAGUUAGGUAUUUUAUACUUAUCUUUUAGUCAGGUAUUUUGUACUUAUCCAAUC
rnacentral:lncRNA from 1 species